rnacentral:rRNA from 1 species
CAUAGCCACGGUAAUACAGAGGAUGCAAGCGUUAUCCGGAAUGAUUGGGCGUAAAGCGUCUGUAGAUGGCUUUUCAAGUCCGCCGUCAAAUCCCAGGGCUCAACCCUGGACAGGCGGUGGAAACUACCAAGCUGGAGUACGGUAGGGGCAGAGGGAAUUUCCGGUGGAGCGGUGAAAUGCGUAGAUAUUAGGAAGAACACCAGUGGCGAAGGCGACUUUCUGGACGAAAACUGACGCUGAGGCGCGAAAGCCAGGGGAGCGAACGGGAUUAGAUACCCCGGUAGUCCCUGUCUCUUAUACC